rnacentral:rRNA from 1 species
UACAGAGGGGGCAAGCGUUGUUCGGAAUUACUGGGCGUAAAGGGCGCGUAGGCGGCCUUCUAAGUCGAACGUGAAAUCCCCGGGCUCAACCCGGGAACUGCGUCCGAUACUGGAAGGCUUGAAUCUGGGAGAGGGAUGCGGAAUUCCAGGUGUAGCGGUGAAAUGCGUAGAUAUUCGCAAGAACACCAGUGGCGAAGGCGGCUAUCUGGACGGUUUCUGACGCUAAGACGCGAAAGCGUGGGGAGCAAACAGG